ACAAACUUGGUCAUUUAGAGGAAGUAAAAGUCGUAACAAGGUUUCCGUAGGUGAACCUGCGGAAGGAUCAUUACUAAUUAUCCACAACACUAUGGAUAAUUUAUCCAUAUCCACCUUGUGUGAAUCAUAGAACUGUUGUUGGCAGGUUUAAGGCGUGCGUCCUCGGCCUGCCAAUUUCAUUUGUUUAAACAUGUCUAAACACUAGCAGUCUGAAACAUAUAUACUUAUAUAAUAAAUACAACUUUCAACAACGGAUCUCUUGGCUCUCGCAUCGAUGAAGAACGCAGC
rnacentral:misc_RNA from 1 species